GAUGAACGCUAGCGGGAGGCCUAACACAUGCCAGCCGAGCGGUAUUGUUUCUUCGGAAAUGAGAGAGCGGCGUACGGGUGCGUAACACGUGUGCAACCUGCCUUUAUCUGGGGGAUAGCCUUUCGAAAGGAAGAUUAAUACUCCAUAAUAUAUUGAACGGCAUCGUUUAAUAUUGAAAGCUCCGGCGGAUAGAGAUGGGCACGCGCAAGAUUAGCUAGUUGGUGAGGUAACGGCUCACCAAGGCGAUGAUCUUUAGGGGGCCUGAGAGGGUGAUCCCCCACACUGGUACUGAGACACGGACCAGACUCCUACGGGAGGCAGCAGUGAGGAAUAUUGGUCAAUGGGUGCAAGCCUGAACCAGCCAUCCCGCGUGAAGGACGACUGCCCUAUGGGUUGUAAACUUCUUUUGUAUAGGGAUAAACCUACCCUCGAGAGGGUAGCUGAAGGUACUAUACUAAUAAGCACCGGCUAACUCCGUG
rnacentral:rRNA from 1 species